AUUGCUUCUCGGCCUUAUUGGCUAGAUCAAGUGUAGUAUCUGUUCUUAUCAGUUUAAUAUCUGAUACGUCCCCUACCCGGGGACCAUAUAUUAAAUUGAUUUUUGGAACUUGGAGAUGGAAUAGGGGCUUGCUCCUGUCCGCUCCAUGCCAUCGGCCUGGGUAUUGCAGUCCUCAGGAGCGGAUGCACCUCCU